GACGAACGCUGGCGGCGUGCCUGACACAUGCAAGUCGGACGGUUCUUGCACCUUCAAGCUUGCUUGCUGGUGCAAGGAUAGUGGCGGACGGGUGAGUAACGCGUGAACAUCUACCCAUUGGAGGGGGACAACCCGUCGAAAGGCGGGCUAAUACCGCGUAAGCCGCGAGGUGAGAGGCUGCCUAUUGGUGGCCGCCGAUGGAUGGGUUCGCGUCCUAUCAGCUGGUUGGUGGGGUAACGGCCUACCAAGGCGAAGACGGGUAGCCGGUCUGAGAGGAUGGCCGGCCACACUGGAACUGAGACACGGUCCAGACUCCUACGGGAGGCAGCAGUGAGGAAUAUUGGUCAAUGGACGAGAGUCUGAACCAGCCAAGUCGCGUGAAGGAAGACGGUUCUAUGAAUUGUAAACUUCUUUUGUGCAGGAAUAAAGUGGGUUACGUGUAACCUUUUGUAUUGUACUGUACGAAUAAGGAUCGGCUAACUCCGUGCCAGCAGCCGCGGUAAUCU
rnacentral:rRNA from 1 species